UGGGGGGUAGGGAUGACAUUAAUUUAGGUAAAGUGAGGAGACAGAUCCAUUUAGUCUCUUAAACACACUAAUGCACGGUCAGAAUGAUUCAUGGUGCAGAACACUUUGAGGACAGAAUGAUAAUGAUACGUGAUCAGAAUAACUAGAUGAAGCUACUCUGAAGAACAGUGACAUUCAGGGCUUAACAUCUCUAACGAGGUGCAGCACAAACUGGCCUUGGUUUGAUCUUUCACAACGCACACUGCCACCACAUUCACUCUUGCGUCAACUGGGCUGAACUAAACUCAAGUUAUUUUAAGAAUACUGAAGAACAUUUAUAGGGUGACUUCAUGCAGGACACAAGAGUAUAGAAGUCAGAUUUCUGUAACCAUUUAAUGUAAGGUAUAUGUUUCUUUUUAAUCUAUUCUUUCUU
rnacentral:lncRNA from 1 species